rnacentral:rRNA from 1 species
UACGUAGGUGGCAAGCGUUGUCCGGAUUUACUGGGCGUAAAGAGCGCGCAGGCGGUCGUUCAAGUCGCGUGUGAAAGCCCCCGGCUCAACUGGGGAGGGUCACGCGAUACUGAUCGACUCGAAGGCAGGAGAGGGUAGUGGAAUUCCCGGUGUAGUGGUGAAAUGCGUAGAUAUUAGGAAGAACACCGGUGGCGAAGGCGGCCCACUGGAUCGGCACUGACGCUGAGGUGCGAAAGCGUGGGGAGCAAACAGG